AGCAGCCGCGGUAAUUCCAGCUCCAAUAGCGUAUAUUAAAGUUGUUGCAGUUAAAAAGCUCGUAGUUGAAUUUCGGGAUCAGUACGCUGGCCGUGCCUCCGGUAUGUACUGGUGUCACUGAUUCCUCCCUUCUGAAGAACCAUCAUGCCAUUAAUUUGGUGUGGUGGGGAAUCAGGACUGUUACUUUGAAAAAAUUAGAGUGUUUAAAGCAGGCUCGCGCUUGAAUACAUUAGCAUGGAAUAAUGAAAUAGGACGUUUAUCCUAUUUUGUUGGUUUCUAGGAUUGACGUAAUGAUUAAUAGGGAUAGUUGGGGGCAUUAGUAUUCAAUUGUCAGAGGUGAAAUUCUUGGAUUUAUUGAAGACUAACUACUGCGAAAGCAUUUGCCAAGGAUGUUUUCAUUAAUCAAGAACGAAAGUUAGGGGAUCGAAGACGAUCAGAUACCGUCGUAGU
rnacentral:rRNA from 1 species